GGAGGUCCUUGUUUGCAGAAGCAGGAGCUGCAGUGAGAAUCAGCUCAAACCAAUGAGCAGUUCUGGCUGAGUGAGGGCUGCAGAAGGGCCUCUUGUCAGCCGAAGUCAGCGAGCAGUUCUGAAAGCUGUAGGUUUGUGGGAGUGGAUGGGCAUGGUGGCUGGGCUCCCCCAGGACUUCUGCUGAACUCCCUGAGGCCAAGUAUGACCCUGGGCUGGCCUGCUUACAGGGGACCCCCAGCUACUGCUCCUCCAGCAAGGCUGCACCUUCUCUGCAGGCGUCAUAUGCUCACCACCAGGUGGGCACCUUGAGCAGAGGGAAAAUACCCUGGUUGGAGCUCACCGUCCACAGCAGAAGAUGGAGUGGAAGAGACUUGUUUUAACUUUGGGCCCCCAGUUCAAAGCAUCUGAUUCUGAUUUGUCUGUGUUACUGGCAGACCAUGGCAAGAGAGCGGAGUCUUCACAAGCUCCUCCAACACCAGUAGGUGCUGAGGCACCUUCUGGAGGCCUUCUUCUUUCCCCAAGUAGAUUGCAUUCCUCAACCAAGCGAUACACACUGAGGGAGAUGACUCUGGAACAUGAAAAAAGUUUCCACAGUUAAGUGCUUUGGAAAAUGAUGUGCAAGGGAGAAGAUAGUGUGUGUUGGUAGGCAGCCAGAGGGAAAAGCGAGAAAAAGAGGGAAGUGAAAAGAAGGGAAAGGGGAGAAACGGAACAAAAUGAAGAUGAGUGGUAAGAAUGAAAGUAACCACGAAAGAGAAACAGCAAAGAGACCAAGGGAACAAGGAGUUGGAGCAAGGGGAUCGAGCAAGGAAAAAUCAAAAGCUGACAAGUGAGAAAUCUGUGCAUCCUGUGGAAAAGCCUCAAAACUCUCACAGGGGAGCAGAACCUGGAAGACAGCAGCCAGAAUGAAAUGAUCUGCCCAUCAUGACAAGCCCGUGACAGUGUUUGGACACCAAGCAAGGUCUUUGAUGCUUGAUACCAGCAGUACACCACAGUUUUAUGUUUUCAUUCUCUCUUAGAUCUGAAUAAGUUUGCAAAUUAGUGAAGGCUUUUUACUAGAUCUGCUACCAAAGAGAUCACAGCGUGACCAAGGCGAGGUGAGCUCACAGAAGCCUCCAAAUAUUCUUUGGAUGCUGGGAAUCCCUGGAAAUAUCCCUGAAAAAGUUCCUGGAACUUCAAUUGUUAAGAGUCCUUCACAUCCACCACAUACUUGGAAAGUUACAAAAAUGUUUAGGUUAUGCAGAGUGGCUAAGAUCACCUACCAGUUCCUAACAGUUCAUUGCCUACUGGCAAAGCUGAGUAUGGCUAAUAGCAAAGAAUGUGGGAGGCAUGAGCCGCUGUAACCUCUUUUAAGCCGCUGUAACCUCUUUUAAUGGAGUUUACUAUUUCUACUGGAGCUCCUAAAAGAGCACACAGGCAUAGGCACACACAUGCAUGCACAAAGAUACACAGGUAGAAAUAAAAUUCUACUGGAGCCAAGCCACGAUGUAAGAGUUACAGCUCAAUGACAAAAGAAUUAUACCUGCAGAUGGAUUACAAAGUACUGUAAAAUGCUGUGAAAUGUGUUUUCUUUCUAACAAAUCUUGCUGAUCACUGAGGCCAUAACAAAGCAUUGCCUGAAGGGUGAGCCCACGCAUCCAGGACAUGAACACACACCCUAUGAGCAUGUGGAGCUGUGGUGUCACAUAGCGCAGAAUGAGAGGAAAUUCUCACAAUUGCCUGUUUCCCCAUGGUGCACUGAAUGACUGAGUGACCACAAACCACGACUGAAGAACAGGAGUGAGUCAUGGAGUUCCAAACAAGAGCAUCCACUAAUUGUUCCAUGGAAGAGGCUCAGCGAAGUAUGAAGGAGGAUUCUGUAGGAUAU